AGCGAACGCUGGCGGCAUGCCUAACACAUGCAAGUCGCACGGGGGGGCUUCGGCCUCCCAGUGGCGGACGGGUGAGGAACGCGUAGGGACCUGUCGAGGGGUGGGGGAUAACCGCGGGAAACUGCGGCUAAUACCGCAUGACGCCGCGGCGUGACAGCCGGGGCCAAAGGCGAAAGCCGCCCGCCGAGGGGCCUGCGUCCGAUUAGCUGGUUGGCGGGGUAGCGGCCCACCAAGGCGUCGAUCGGUAGCUGGUCUGAGAGGGUGAUCAGCCACACCGGGACUGAGACACGGCCCGGAAUCCUACGGGAGGCAGCAGUGGGGAAUAUUGGACAAUGGGCGCAAGCCUGAUCCAGCAAUGCCGCGUGGGUGAAGAAGGUCUUCGGAUUGUAAAGCCCUUUCGGCGGGGACGAUGGUGACGGUACCCGCAGAAGAAGCCCCGGCUAACUUCGUG
rnacentral:rRNA from 1 species